AGCGAACGCUGGCGGCAUGCUUAACACAUGCAAGUCGCACGGCCGGGCAACCGGCAGUGGCGGACGGGUGAGUAACGCGUAGGAAUCUAUCUUUGGGUGGGGGACAACCGUGGGAAACUACGGCUAAUACCGCAUGAUGCCUGAGGGCCAAAGCUCGCAAGAGCGCCUGGGGAGGAGCCUGCGUCUGAUUAGCUAGUUGGUGGGGUAAAGGCCUACCAAGGCUUCGAUCAGUAGCUGGUCUGAGAGGAUGAUCAGCCACAUUGGGACUGAGACACGGCCCAAACUCCUACGGGAGGCAGCAGUGGGGAAUAUUGGACAAUGGGCGCAAGCCUGAUCCAGCAAUGCCGCGUGGGUGAAGAAGGUCUUCGGAUUGUAAAGCCCUUUUGGCAGGGACGAUGAUGACGGUACCUGCAGAAUAAGCCCCGGCUAACUUCGUGCCAGCCGCCGCGGUAACAC
rnacentral:rRNA from 1 species